GUGGGGAAUAUUGGACAAUGGGGGGAACCCUGAUCCAGCCAUGCCGCGUGUGUGAAGAAGGCCUUUUGGUUGUAAAGCACUUUAAGCGAGGAGGAGGCUACCGAGAUUAAUACUCUUGGAUAGUGGACGUUACUCGCAGAAUAAGCACCGGCUAACUCUGUGCCAGCACCCGCGGUAAUACAGAGGGUGCAAGCGUUAAUCGGAUUAACUGGGCGUAAAGCGGGCGUAGGUGGCCAAUUAAGUCAAAGGUGAAAUCCCCGAGCUUAACUUGGGAAUUGCAUUCGAUACUGGUUGGCUAGAGUAUGGGAGAGGAUGGUAGAAUUCCAGGUGUAGCGGUGAAAUGCGUAGAGAUCUGGAGGAAUACCGAUGGCGAAGGCAGCCAUCUGGCCUAAUACUGACACUGAGGUGCGAAAGCAUGGGGAGCAAACAGGAUUAGAUACCCCGGUAGUCC
rnacentral:rRNA from 1 species